UUCAUGGUCACACCGGUUGUUCCAGAACCUCAGGACAAACCUGACCCCUCGCCUUUUGGUGAGUUUCAAUAUCUUAUGCAAACGGUUUGCCUCUCCGCGGCCAACAGACCCACGAGAUCCCUGACCCCCUGAUUCAUGAGGCCACCUCUGAGAUGUGGUGAAUGUUGGACAGGGUGAGCUGCGCCUCCCGCGCUGGGUAGAAACGUCUGGAUCGAAGCCACAGCCUCCCAAACACUCCAGUGAUCAGCAGCAAGACAACCAGCAGUCCUCCGAGGACAAAGGUCUCCACAGGAGGGACUCCACCUGCAUCUACGUAGAAAAGGACACAGGGUAUACCUGUCCCGGAUGAAGGUGUACUGAAUAUUGCUGUAUGGAUCACUGGUUGGUGUAGCCCAGCAUCUCUCCAUACGCAGCAUCAGUUGAGCCGGUAUC